UACGUAGGUGGCAAGCGUUGUCCGGAUUUAUUGGGUUAAAGGGUGCGUAGGCGGCCUUUUAAGUCAGUGCUGAAAUACUCUAGCUUAACUAGAGGGGUGGCAUUGAUACUGAAAGGCUUGAGUGAAGUCGAAGUAGGCGGAAUUGACGGUGUAGCGGUGAAAUGCUUAGAUAUCGUCAAGAACACCGAUAGUGAAGACAGCUUACUAGACUUCAACUGACGCUGAGGCACGAAAGUGUGGGGAUCAAACAGG
rnacentral:rRNA from 1 species